GACAAAGGCUUUCUCAGGACAGAAGAGCCUGGAAGGCACACUGCACUUCUGAUAGUGAAAACCAGCAUGGAAGUGUUCUUCCUAAGAGUGUCAUCUAUUACUAAAGAGACCCUUAUACUUGAUUAUGAACAAUUCAUCCAGCUACAGAACAUUUGGAAAGCAAGUUAACUCUAUCCAUUUCAGCUCUGCUGCUGUCACCAUCAAACACCUUUCACAGCCCAAGAGGGACCAGCAUCUUCAACAUAACAGC